rfam:Nitrospira sp. SG-bin1 contig1173, whole genome shotgun sequence.
GGUGGGCUCCGAUCUUGAAUCGUACAUGCGCAGACUUCAAACCGUGGCAAGCGGCGUCGAUCAAGAGUCGUCGUCGUGAGCAUUGCUGGAAUAGACGGAGCAGGACUCUGGCAGGU